UGCCUACCCUGCAAGCUUGGGAAUGGGGUAACCUGGUUAGUUUAGGUUUGAUUCUUUCAAAUAUUCAAUCAAACAGUAUGUUAGUUUAGGUUUGAUUCUUUCAAAUAUUCAAUCAAACAGUAUGUUAGUUUAGGUUUGAUUCUUUCAAAUAUUCAAUCAAACAGUAUGUUAGUUUAGGUUUGAUUCUUUCAAAUAUUCAAUCAAACAGUAUACUAUGUUAGCUAUAAUUCAAUC